CGCGUCUUUGUGUGUGUGCGCGAAAUGCCCCCCUCCCCCUCAGUGUAUCGUUCUCUGAGCGGAUGGUUCUAUCCUUGACGCACUUAAAUUUACACCGCACUUCACCAUGCUAACAUUUUCGCCAGCAAUGCCGUUUCAUCUUUGUCUUAUCCCGACACCCAAUCACCGGGCAUCGGGAUGAGCCUGGGAGUGGAGGGUGUUCCACAGUACACUGUACUAACAUGGUUAAGCUCAGAAACGGAGAGCAAUAAGGUUGGGCGAUCGUAGCGCCGGCAUGAAAGAAGGGAAGCACGGGUAGAUGACACGCUCCAGUGUGUCCAUGGCGAAGGCGUCUCGUUGAAGUAUCGCGCUGGGCACAGCUUUCGACCUAGUCCGCGUAUCUCACGUUACCAGCGUAGUGCAUCAAUGUGUCUACUUCGACAAAAUGGAGCACCAGUGCAGAUAUCUGAGCAUACCUGUCCAGGGCAGCAAGUGUGUCUACAUUAAAACCACUACCAGCAUGUGCGGCAGUUCUAUUUCCAGCAGCGGGACUGCACAAUAAUUAUAAGGGUGCUCUCAAGCUGUUUAUCUAUGAAGCUCCGCCUGGACUGUGUGCCAAAUAUUUUUGGACGUGAAAGUGGGGGUGAAUUGGUAAACAUCAGUGGAACUGUGCCUGGACUUUGUGGCAAAUGUUUUUGGAUGUGAAAGUGUGAGUGAACUGGCAAAGAAUUUGCUCUGGGCUACAUGUGUUAAACGUUUUUCUCAUUCAGAGUGCUUUUUUUUACUUUAGGAGACUGGAGAUGUGCGCAAAGUGGGACAUGUCAGUGUGUUAAUUAAUGUAUUUGCUGGUUUGCAAAUUAUUCGUUGCAACUUUGUUUUUGCCAGAGAGGUACAACUUUGCCUCUUGUAAAGGGCUUUUUAGAUAAAACACUUACUAUUUAUUAUGACCAUUGCUUCCUUUGUUACACAAAUGCAGCUUCCAGUGCAUUCCAGUUUAUUUCCAUGUUUAUGUAAGUUUCUAAUAUGAGGCUUGCAUAUUCAUUUCUCACGUUCUGGAGUGGCAAGAUGCAGCAUUACUGUCUCAUCGUUCGCUGUACUACAGUAGUGUUCACUUGUUACACUGAAGUGUAUGAAGUAUUCUGUACUAAUUUCACUUCUUGCUUUUUUGUUGUAUGGUUAUUUUUUCUCGCCAUUACCUUCUUUGAUAUAUCCUAAAGGCAAUAUUUCCAAUUUUGCAUUGUUCCCAUUUUUUUAUUUCUGUCACAGGAAUGGUAUGCGGUGGUAUUUCUUUUUGUGCUCUUUUCAAGCUUCUAGCUGAUAGGUAACAUUGCUUGGAGGCAGUUACCAUCCGAUUCAUACUCUUGCAUUUUUCAGUCUACUUCUUCCAUUCGCUCCGAUGUCACUUCUGCAUAACUCUAGUCCAUCUAAUAGCACGUGCACUUUACUAUGAUAAAUUAGACACUUUAGUACAAUCCAGGUUUUUCUGUUCAUUUUUGCAUGUGUACUUGGAAUUUUGUUUAUGUGCUAGUGAAUGUUCACUUUCGAGUUCAUUACGAAUCCUUUCUGCGACUUUUGUCAAUGUUAAUGUACCUUUACUUCUAUUUGCAUUUCUCACACAGUUUGUUCGAACCUUGCAUAAGCAUUACAUUUAAUAAAGUGUUUUUGCUUUG